CCUACGGGGUGCAGCAGUGGGGGAUAUUGCACAAUGGGGGGAACCCUGAUGCAGCGACGCCGCGUGGGUGAAGAAGCGCCUCGGCGCGUAAAGCCCUGUCAGCAGGGAAGAAAAUGACGGAACUUGAAGAAGAAGCCCCGGCUAACUCCGUGCCAGCAGCCGCGGUAAUACGGAGGGGGCAAGCGUUAUCCGGAUUCACUGGGUGUAAAGGGGGCGCAGGCGGCGAUGCAAGCCAGGAGUGAAAGUCCGGGGCCCAACCCCGGGACUGCUCUUGGAACUGCGUGGCUGGAGUGCAGGAGGGGCAGGCGGAAUUCCUGGUGUAGCAGUGAAAUGCGUAGAUAUCAGGAGGAACACCGGUGGCGAAGGCGGGCUGCUGGACUGCAACUGACGUUGAGGCCCGAAGGCGUGGGGAGCGAACGGGAUUAGAUACCCGGGUAGUC
rnacentral:rRNA from 1 species